rnacentral:rRNA from 1 species
UACGUAGGGUGCAAGCGUUAUCCGGAAUUAUUGGGCGUAAAGAGCUCGUAGGCGGUCUGUCACGUCGGCUGUGAAAUCCCGAGGCUCAACCUCGGGUCUGCAGUCGAUACGGGCAAACUAGAGUAUUGCAGGGGAGACUGGAAUUCCUGGUGUAGCGGUGAGAUGCGCAGAUAUCAGGAGGAACACCGGUGGCGAAGGCGGGUCUCUGGGGACAUGCUGACGCUGAGACACGAAAGCCAGGGGAGCAAACGGG